rnacentral:rRNA from 1 species
GUGUCAGCCGCCGCGGUAAUACGUAGGGUGCGAGCGUUAAUCGGAAUUACUGGGCGUAAAGGGUGCGCAGGCGGUUAUAUAAGACAGAUGUGAAAUCCCCGGGCUCAACCUGGGAACUGCGUUUGUGACUGUAUGACUAGAGUACGGUAGAGAGGGGUGGAAUUCCUGGUGUAGCAGUGAAAUGCGUAGAUAUCAGGAGGAACAUCGAUGGCGAAGGCAGCCCCUUGGACCUGUACUGACGCUCAUGCACGAAAGCGUGGGGAGCAAACAGGAUUAGAAACCCUUGUAGUCC